rnacentral:rRNA from 1 species
GGACUACUGGGGUUUCUAAUCCUGUUUGCUCCCCACGCUUUCGUACAUGAGCGUCAGUCUUAUCCCAGGGGGCUGCCUUCGCCAUCGGUGUUCCUCCACAUCUCUACGCAUUUCACUGCUACACGUGGAAUUCCACCCCCCUCUGACAGACUCUAGUCUGGCAGUCACAAGCGCAGUUCCCAGGUUAAGCCCGGGGAUUUCACGCCUGUCUUACCAAACCGCCUGCGUACGCUUUACGCCCAGUAAUUCCGAUUAACGCUCGCACCCUACGUAUUACCGCGGCUGCUGGCAC